rnacentral:rRNA from 1 species
GUCGAACGGUAACAUUUCUAGCUUGCUAGAAGAUGACGAGUGGCGGACGGGUGAGUAAUGCUUGGGAACUUGCCUUUGCGAGGGGGAUAACAGUUGGAAACGACUGCUAAUACCGCAUAAUGUUCUACGGACUCGGUCCGAAGGACCAAACGGGGCUUCGGCUCCGGCGCAAAGAGAGGCCCAAGUGAGAUUAGCUAGUUGGUAAGGUAACGGCUUACCAAGGCGACGAUCUCUAGCUGUUCUGAGAGGAAGAUCAGCCACACUGGGACUGAGACACGGCCCAGACUCCUACGGGAGGCAGCAGUGGGGAAUAUUGCACAAUGGGGGAAACCCUGAUGCAGCCAUGCCGCGUGUGUGAAGAAGGCCUUCGGGUUGUAAAGCACUUUCAGUUGUGAGGAAAAGUUAGUAGUUAAUACCUGCUAGCCGUGACGUUAACAACAGAAGAAGCACCGGCUAACUCCGUGCCAGCAGCCGCGGUAAUACGGAGGGUGCGAGCGUUAAUCGGAAUUACUGGGCGUAAAGCGCACGCAGGCGGUUUGUUAAGCUAGAUGUGAAAGCCCCGGGCUCAACCUGGGAUGGUCAUUUAGAACUGGCAGACUAGAGUCUUGGAGAGGGGAGUGGAAUUCCAGGUGUAGCGGUGAAAUGCGUAGAUAUCUGGAGGAACAUCAGUGGCGAAGGCGACUCCCUGGCCAAAGACUGACGCUCAUGUGCGAAAGUGUGGGUAGCGAACAGGAUUAGAUACCCUGGUAGUCCACACCGUAAACGCUGUCUACUAGCUGUGUGUGCCCUU